rnacentral:lncRNA from 1 species
CGCGGGGGCGGAGAGUGAAGCUCCAGCUCUCUGGGCCUCGGUCUAAGGCCGGGCGGAGACGAGAGAGAGGAGGGGCGAGAGAGGGCGAGGCCGCGGGCGCGCUCCCUGUGGCCGCCUGAUAGGGUGCGCGGCGUUGUGAGCACGCCCCGCGGGGAGGCGCUGCCUAGUGACUGCGCAGGCGCGGCACGCUGGAGUAGCCCCUUGACUUCCCCCGUUUUCCUCCCGGAUCGCCCUCCCGGCUGAGCGGAGGAUGCUUUUCGCCGCGCUUGACGCGUGUGUUGAGCUGAGAGUCUUGGGGCAGCCACCGGCUUGGGUGGCCAUGUGUUCCUGUGUAGCCAUAGCCCGUAUAUGCUAGAAAAAGCAGCGCCCUGGGUCAUUUAAUAGCCUCUAAGCUAAAAUGAGGCGCAUUCAGGAGUGCCGUCCCUCGUGGCUAGUCAUGGCCUGGGAAACAUUACGGCUCCAUCCCGGUUUGCUUAAGGAGCAAGAGUUGGCGUUCAAGAUACCAGGAGUUUGAAAUGGAAAAAACUGGCCGCGCUGCUCAAGCUGGGAUGAUGUAAUCUGCCUUCUAGGGCGAGGAACAGAGGGCCGAGGAUCACCUGGGCGUUGGGAGCACCUCCCGCCAAGUGGAAGCCUCGGUGCUGUGCUCUACAUGGAGAACCAGCUCCAGAACUUUAGCCACCUUUCGGAGUAAGGACGGCCCAAGAGCACUAUACGGAAGCGGGACCCUUCCCUUCGGCCGGAAUUGAACCACCAGCGUCCCAAACUGAAGGAUAGUGAAGCCAACCCCAACCCCAAGCUGCCUCUUCCUUGACUAUCAUUUCUUAUGGCUAACACCCUUUCUUCCCUCUCCUCAGCCUCAGGUACAUUAAGGCAAGAACCAACAGGGCAUGGCCAGGCUAUUAAUUCCGUGUGCCUACAGCUUAUUAUGAAGAAGAUGCAUUCGUUUUCUCUGCCUGCUUCUGAGUAGGUGCAGAAGCAGCCCAUGAGAGAGCCGUUGGCAGCCAAAGUUUUCUAAAAACACCCAGGCAACAGCUGUCCUUGGCUGUCACCUGACUUGCCAGGCCCUGAGUCAGCACCACUCCCCCACCCUGCCUCCCCUGCUGAGCCAGAUCUGACUUGCCCUUUCCUGGCUGGGCCAAACCGGUUGGGCCAGCCCUGCCCCAUCCCAGCAUCCUCCUCAGGAGGUGACUUCUUGCUCCCUUACUGUCACCUGGGGUCCCACCCUUGCACUGUGUUUGUCAUCCAGAGCAGCACCCUCAUGCCUGAAAGUUUAGCCCUCCCUGAGGGGAGUUGAGAGACCACCCCUGAGCUGCUGGAGACAACGGGGAGGCUCUGGAAUUGGUCCCUGGGCCCUAACAUCUCCUCUAUUUACCGAAGAGCAUCAUCCUUCUCUUGGUGACUCUGGGAUUUGCUUUAGGAGAAAAGCAGAAGAAAAUACAAAGACUCUAGAGGAGGAUUCCACACCCAGGUUCAAGCCCAGAAGAGAACAGGGCUGGGGCAAUCCGAAGACCA